UUGAGUCAGCUUCACAUUUCUGGUUCUUGUACGCUGACAUUUAAGCAGAAAGAAUUUUGAUUACCUUAACAUAUGAUGGAAUUCAUCUUGAAAAUACUAAUUAAAAUCAAUGUUCAUUCCUAAUGAUGGAGAAAGAGUCAAAAAGACGUUCGAAUGAAAAGUUCAGCUGCAUCAAUAUGUUGGUACCAGGUUAGGUCCUCAGAGAUCUUGACACCCAGGAAAUUGAAACUGCUCACUUUCUCCACUUCUGAUCCAUCUAUGAUGACUGACGCUCUUGUCAAACCUCCUCAACCGCUCAUUUUUAGGAAAAAAAGAAGUGCGAACUUUGGAUAGCAUUCCGAUCAUGGUGAAAGUUGAAGAGAAAAUUUUGCAGUGAGCUCGUUGGAAGGGAGCCACCAUGAGCAGUUUUCUGAUGAAAUUUUAACAUUUAAGUGAAUGAUUUCCUUGAUGUUGAGGAAAGUAUCCUCACUGGUAAGGCAUUUCCAACACAGGAAUGCAAAAGGCUGCAGAGAGUAAUGUGCACAGCCUGGAACAUCAUAGGCAGUCUUCCCCAAUAUUGAUAACAUCUACAAGAUACACUGCCUCAAGGCAGUGACAUCUAUCAUCAAGGAUCUACACCGUCUGGGUCAAACCCUCUUCUAGAUGCUUCCAUCAGGAAAACACCAACUAUUCCCACACCAGCAAGUUCAGGAACAGUUACUUUCCUACAGCCAUCAUGUUCUUGGGCUGAUCUGAUCACCCUAACUUUAUCUCAGCAAUGGAACUUUUGGACUGCCUCUUACACCACCAUGGGCUUGUCUAUGAUUGUGAAAAACAUUAAUGUAAAGAAAGCACUGUUUAUUUUCACUGCAUUCUAUAAGUUAUGUGUAAUUUAUGCUCUGUGCGUUAUCUAUACCUACGUGCCUAUGAUGCAGCUGGAAGUAAUUUUUCAUUGCAUAUUUACCUCACUGUAUUUGUGUACAUGACAAUAAACUUGACUUGAGGGGCAGAGAUAGUUGGAGUACUUUUCCCCAGGGCGAAACUAGAGGCUUUAAGUGAAAGGGAACUAAUUAAAUGAGAACCAAAAGGCAAAAUUUUCUACACAAAGGGUUGUGGUCAUCUGAAAAUAUUUAAAGAAAAAAAACACUCCUUUCUUUCCGGAAUCCCUGCGAUUCCCAUUCUAACAUGAUAUAAGACCCGAAUACGCUCUUCAGCUUGCAAGCUGCAAAUUUAGAGAAAAAUGAUCAACGAACAGAUUUUGAAUCUCUGUCAAGGAGUGAAGUCCCAGACUUCUUGUCAGUUAAACAGACAGGUAUUUGCAGUUUCUUUCUAAAUUACUGGCAGUUAUCAGCAAAAGGGAGAGCACAGAAUCGUUGGACUUUAACUACCAUUUCAGUAUGCUUACCCAGAAGCCCUGGGUGGGAGCGGACUGACACCAACGUCAGUAGGAAACCCAUGCCAUUCAUUCACUAAACCGUUGCCCCAAAUCAGAUCAGUAUUCUGGGAAAUAUCAAUGUGCAGAACAAUGACUAUAAACAUAAAACAUUGUCUAUGAGCUGAACUCUAUUUCUAAAAUUCAGUCUCGGUGACUUCAAGAGAACCCAUAUUUCAGAAUCCGAACCUGGAUCGCUGUUGGAUCAAAGGUUAACUUUAUUCGCCAUACACAGUUACAUCUACUAGGAAUUUGCUGUGACAUGUACAGAAACCAACAACUUCAACAAUAUAAAGAAUAAAUUAUGUAAAAUAACAUUAGAAGUAUGAAUGUGGAAUAAAUGGUACAUAAAUACCAGCAUGUAUUUACAAUGUAAAUACGUAGAAGCAGAAUUGGGGCUUUUGGUUUAUUGAUUCUGUUCUGCCAUAUCAGAACAGCUGA